UACGUAGGUGGCAAGCGUUGUCCGGAUUUAUUGGGUUUAAAGGGUGCGUAGGCGGUCUUAUAAGUCAGUGCUGAAAUAUCCCGGCUUAACCGGGAGGGUGGCAUUGAUACUGUAGGACUUGAGUAGAGUUGAGGUUGGCGGAAUUGACGGUGUAGCGGUGAAAUGCUUAGAUAUCGUCAAGAACACCUAUAGCGAAGGCAGCUAACUAAACUUUAACUGACGCUGAGGCACGAAAGUGUGGGGAUCAAACAGG
rnacentral:rRNA from 1 species